GGCGGACGGGUGAGUAACGCGUGGGCAACCUGCCUUAUCCAGGGGGAAAACAGCCAGAAAUGGCUGUUAAUACCGCAUAAGCGCACAGCAUCGCAUGAUUCGGUGUGAAAAACUCCGGUGGUACAGGAUGGACCCGCGUUGAUUAGGUAGUUGGCAGGGCAACGGCCUACCAAGGCGACGAUCGGUAGCCGGCCUGAGAGGUUGAACGGCCACAUUGGGACUGAGACACGGCCCAGACUCCUACGGGAGGCAGCAGUGGGGAAUAUUGCACAAUGGGGGAAACCCUGAUGCAGCGACGCCGCGUGAAGGAAGAAGUAUUUCGGAAUGUAAAGUUCUAUCAUCAGGGAAGAAAAUGACGGUACCUAACUAGAAAGCACCGGCUAAAUACGUGCCAGCAGCCGCGGUAAUACGUAGGGUGCAAGCGUUAUCCGGAUUUACUGGGUGUAAAGGGAGCGCAGACGGCAAGACAAGUCGGAAGUGAAAUCCAGGGGCUCAACCCAGGAAUUGCUUUGAAAACUGUUUAUCUAGAGUAUCGCAGAGGUAGGUGGAAUUCCCAGUGUAGCGGUGAAAUGCGUAGAUAUUGGGAGGAACACCAGUGGCGAAGGCGGUUUACUGGACGCUAACUGACGUUGAGGCUCGAAAGCGUGGGGAGCAAACAGAAUUAGAUACCCUGGUAGUCCACGCCGUAAACGAUGAUUAUUAGGUGUUGGGGGCUUGACCUCCUCAGUGCCCCAGUAAACACUAUAAGUAAUCCACCCGGGGAGUGUGUCCGCGAGGUUGAAACUCAAUGGAAUGGAGGGGGUUCUGCACAAGCGGUCGUGCUAUUGUGUUUAGUUUGAAGCAACGCGAAGAACGUACUCCAUUCUUGACAUCGCGGUGUCGGAUCAUUAUCUGGUUCUUUCCUUCGGGAAUAGUCGAGACAUGCUGCCGCAUGGAGGUGUGCAGGUCGUGUCGUGAUAUGUUGGGGGAUGUUCCUCAUCGAUCGCAGCCUAUUUCUUGUGUCGCUAGCAUGUUAGGUCGCCACUUAGGGGAUAAUCCCAGGGAUCACCUUGUGGAACCGGGGGAUUUCGUCACAUCAUCACGCCCGUUUUGGUUUGGUUUACACGUAUCAGCCAUUGGUGUAAGCUAUGUGCAGCGAGCAUGCGGAGGGAAGCCAAUCCCAUAAUCAACCUUCCACUUCGUCAUGCAAUCUGUAACUC
rnacentral:rRNA from 1 species